UUGAUUCAUUUUUCUUGUGAGACUCAGAAUAUGCCACUAUGGUUAAACAAGAGUUUGGGUCCUCUGGCGGGCCGUCCCGUUUUACGGGGCGCGGGCUGAUCCGCCGAGGCAACAUUAAGGUAUGUUCACAGGGGUUUGGGAGUUGUAAACUCGGUAAUGAUCCCUCCGCUGGUUCACCAACGGAGA
rnacentral:misc_RNA from 1 species